rnacentral:lncRNA from 1 species
AUUUUUACCUUAUUUUUUAGCUCCACCCUCACGGAGGGGCUGAGGAGCGAAGCGAUCCCUCCCUCCCUCUCCCGAGUCCCGCACCCCCAUUGAAAUCGGAGACCCAGGUCGCCGCCUCCACCUCCGCCUCCGCCUCCGCCUCCGCCUCCAGGCCCUUUCCCCGUCCACCUCCGCGAGGAGAGGCAGCCAACAGCCACCGACUGCCCCUUNNNNNNNNNNNNNNNNNNNNNNNNNNNNNNNNNNNNNNNNNNNNNNNNNNNNNNNNNNNNNNNNNNNNNNNNNNNNNNNNNNNNNNNNNNNNNNNNNNNNNNNNNNNNNNNNNNNNNNNNNNNNNNNNNNNNNNNNNNNNNNNNNNNNNNNNNNNNNNNNNNNNNNNNNNNNNNNNNNNNNNNNNNNNNNNNNNNNNNNNNNNNNNNNNNNNNNNNNNNNNNNNNNNNNNNNNNNNNNNNNNNNNNNNNNNNNNNNNNNNNNNNNNNNNNNNNNNNNNNNNNNNNNNNNNNNNNNNNNNNNNNNNNNNNNNNNNNNNNNNNNNNNNNNNNNNNNNNNNNNNNNNNNNNNNNNNNNNNNNNNNNNNNNNNNNNNNNNNNNNNNNNNNNNNNNNNNNNNNNNNNNNNNNNNNNNNNNNNNNNNNNNNNNNNNNNNNNNNNNNNNNNNNNNNNNNNNNNNNNNNNNNNNNNNNNNNNNNNNNNNNNNNNNNNNNNNNNNNNNNNNNNNNNNNNNNNNNNNNNNNNNNNNNNNNNNNNNNNNNNNNNNNNNNNNNNNNNNNNNNNNNNNNNNNNNNNNNNNNNNNNNNNNNNNNNNNNNNNNNNNNNNNNNNNNNNNNNNNNNNNNNNNNNNNNNNNNNNNNNNNNNNNNNNNNNNNNNNNNNNNNNNNNNNNNNNNNNNNNNNNNNNAAAAAAAAAGGCGUUCUUGCAUCAUGAUUUUUUGGAUCUUUGCCACAUGCAUUCUGCCAUUUUGAUUCAGUUUGUUUUCUUAAUUUUAUUGUGGCAACGGGAUGGGGUUUACCUACUGGGAAAAUUUUGUUAUUUGCGAACUAACAGUUAUUAGGGCUGGAACCAGUCGCAAUUAAUUGUUGUUUUGUGCAGUUUAUGCACUGAACUUCAGUUGGGGUAACAUGAAGCAGAAUGCAGCUGAAAGCAUGGAUGUUAGGUCCAGCAAAACUGAAGAAAAUGAAGACUGGGAAAGCACUGAUGAGAGGAAGCAUCGGUCAAGCAAGUCACAGAAGCACAGUAGCGUAGAAGAAGCUCAGAAACGGGAUAGCGGAAGAAGAAAAAGCUCUGGAGAUAGGAAUGAUGCUAGGAAGAAGUCAAGUAGCUCAAGCAGUGGAGAUGAAUGUGAGUAUGACACAAAAAGAGAAUCACAUACCAAGAUUUCAAGAAGGAAUCCAGAAGAGAGAAGUGAAAAGAGAUUGAGUGAAGGGUACCGGGAGAGAGAAUCAGAUAGCAUUAGGAAGAGCAGGAAUGAAGAGAAUGAGAAGCAUUCUUGUAGAAAAUCAAGCAUGAAACCUUCUGAUAGCAGUCGCAUGGAGAAAUCAGAUUCAAAGGGUGGGAAAGCUGUUGACCAUAGUAAGCAGGGGUCUGUUAGGGAUCGAAUGCAGGAUUAUGGAAAUGAAUUAAGCGACUCCAAAAGUAAGGUUGUGGAUUCUAGUGCUGAUAAGGGUUUCAGGUCCAGUACUAGGGAAGAGAAAAGAGUAGAUGGAGAACCCAGUAGAAGUAGAGGCCGAUUGGUUGCUCAAGAUGAAGAUAUUAUGCCAGUCUCUGCACCUCAUGAAGCUAGACUGGAUAUUUGUGAAGAUGAUAAAUGGAGAAGGGGGCGGGAAAGAUCAAGCGAGGUGGCAGGAAAUGAGGAUGCCUACAAGUAUAGUGGCAAGCCACAUGAGGAGAAAUCUGAGAAAUAUAGACAACAGCAAGACUCGGCAUAUGGCAGUCGUGAUGAAGUUCAAAUCCGGGAAAGGUCUGUUGCCAGGGAUGAAGAGAUGAGAGAUAAAAUUGGGAGGGAAGUUAGACAUAGUAAAAGGUCUCGAACCCCUGAGAGAAGCGGAAGGCAUCAUAGGGAGCAGGAUGACCAUGACCGAGGCUAUUCAGAAUCUGACAAUGAAAGAAACAUUGGACUUAAGAGUAGAGAAUGGGAAAGAGAGGGGUAUAAGGAUGAUAGGUCUUCCAAGGGAAAAGACAGGAGCUGGAAUGACAAAAAUAGAGACUGGGAAGGUUCAAAAGACCACUGGAAGAGAAAUCAGACUAGGCAAGAUUCCAAAGAUAGGGAAAAUGAUUUUGGUCAUGUCAAGGAGUGGGAGUCGCAAUGGCAUGAACAAGAAAUGGUGGAUGGUGAAAAUCUUCACAGCAAACCUGGCUAUAGAAAAGAUUUUAGAAUCAGGUCUGACGGCGUAAAAGCGUCAUCAACCUCCAGGAAUGCUUAUGAGAGUUCUGAUUCAAUAGAGAUAAGACCCAACAAGAAUCUUGACUUUGGAAAAGAGGAACCUUCUUCCAUAUAUUCUGGGAGGAGAGCAGAAGUGGGUCCACAGCAGGAUUUCACUUCCGGAGUAAAUGAUGGAACAUGGGAAUAUCCACCUGAGAAAAAGGGUAAAACAGCAUAUGGUUAUGGAGAUGAAUUACAGGAAAGGUACCAAGAUCAUGGUUCACCUGUGGAUCAGAGGUCCACAAGGAAUUCUCUUGAUUCUUAUGCCGGAGAAGGACGAGGGCACGAGGACAAAAAUUAUAAUCAUCCAGGACUGAGCCAAAGUAAUGAUUCACAAUAUCCAUUUGGGAAUAUUCAGGGAUCAGGUUCUGUUAAUAGGCCUCCCCAACAAGGAUCAAAAGGGGGCAGACCUGCAAGAGGAGGAAGAGGAAGGCUAACUGGGAGGGAUGCUCAACGUGAUGCAAUUUCAAUAUCUAUGAUGGGCCCUUCAUUUGGUCAUCUCGGCUUGCCACCUGGACCAAUGCAGUCAAUUGGGCCGAAUAUGCCACACUUACCUGGCCCACCAAUUUUCGGUUCCCCAUUUCCAGGACCUCUCAUUUGGCCUGGAGCUCGAGGUGUUGAUAUGAACAUGCUAGCUGUCCCUCCCAGUCUUCCUCCAAUUCCUCCUCUUGGGCCUGGUGGACCUAGGUUUCCACCUAAUAUGGGAAGUAGCCCUAAUCAUGGCAUGUACUUCAAUCAACCAGGCCCUGGAAGAGGAGUUCCUUCUAACACAACUGGUCCUGGUCCUAAUGCAAUGGGACCAGGUGGCCGCGGGAUGCCACAUGAUAAAGCACCUAGCGGUUGGGGUCCACAGAGAAACAGUGGGCCUUCCAAAGGUCCUUCAAGGGGAGAGCAGAAUGAUUACUCUCAAAAUUUUGUUGACACUGGUAUGAGACCACAGAAUUUCAUCAGAGAGCUGGAGCUCACUAGUGUUGUGGAAGACUAUCCAAAGCUGAGGGAACUAAUCCAGAAGAAAGAUGAAAUUGUUGCAAAGUCUGCUUGCCCACCCAUGUACUAUAAGUGUGACCUCCGUGAGCAUGCACUCUCUCCUGAGUUUUUUGGCACAAAGUUUGACGUUAUUCUUGUGGAUCCUCCAUGGGAAGAAUAUGUUCAUCGGGCUCCUGGUGUUACUGACCACAUGGAAUACUGGACGUUUGAAGAGAUAGUGAAUUUGAAGAUUGAGGUGCGUUUUUCGUAAGUUUUAUUCAUCACUUGUGUUUAUUAGAAUAAUAUGCUUGGUCUUGAUUUGAUAUUUCUUGCAUGCUUGCUAUAAGUAUCUUUAUUGGCACCUAGUAACUCUCAAUAUACUGGAUUUUACUCAAUCCUUAAAUCUUCUCUAUUCGUUGCAUCAGGCAAUAGCUGACACCCCUUCAUUUAUCUUCCUCUGGGUUGGUGAUGGUGCAGGACUUGAACAGGGCCGUCAGUGUUUAAAGAAGGUCAGUUUAGUUUAGUCUUCUACUAUACUUGCUUAGAAGAUCCAGUUUUGAUCUUGUUAGCAGUUAUUGCAACACUCUUCCCGACUUUUGUUCCAAUUCUAGAAAGGGAGAGAGCAGUGUGAUUGAUUUGUUGAUAACAGGAGGUUUCUGUCAAUAGCCUGUUGGAAAGUACUAGCCCUCAAACUUUAUGGGAUAUUGUGGCAAAAUUUUGCGCAAACGGUUUCAUUCUUCCAAUUUGCAUUACAGGGGGAAAAGGGGAAAAAAAGAGAAUAUAUUUAUCUGAUAUGGUUAUCCUGCUGAUUAUAAUGGUGUAUUUUCAAUCAUUCUGUGAUUGGCCAUUUUUAUGGGGGUUAUAACCUGUUAUCAUUUAUUUUUUUGUUUUUUGUUUUGCAUAUAGUGGGGAUUUCGGAGAUGUGAGGAUAUUUGUUGGGUGAAAACCAACAAAACAAAUGCAACUCCUGCAUUGAGGCAUGAUUCUCGCACAUUGUUUCAGCACUCGAAGGUUAGUAAACUUUUGGUGAACAAGUUUAUUCUUUAUCUAGAUAUUUCAAGUUUCAGCUUCUUCCUAAGCUGCUGUCUUUGCAGUGCCUGCUAAGUAAAAUAAUCAUUUGUAUUGGGUAGGAACAUUGCUUGAUGGGCAUAAGGGGAACUGUUCGACGUAGCACAGAUGGGCAUAUCAUUCAUGCCAAUAUUGAUACAGAUGUGAUAAUAGCUGAAGAACCUGCUUAUGGUUAGUAUUUUCUGCUUUUGGAGUCUAUAUGUUGUUAGUUCAACUUUUGGAUCUUUGUUCAUCUCUGGUGGGACAUUCCAUUCACUAAAUUGAAGAGAAAAUACCAUCAUUAUUAUUAUAAACGGCAUACUUACAAGUUGUUAGAAGGUAUUUAUAACUUUUUUUUCUUAUUUUCUAUGGAUAUUUUCAUUUGGUAAAUUCAUUCUUAAAAGCAAUGGCGCAUGUGCUCUCUUCUCUUAGAUUUGUAUAUUUUUUCCAGGUUAUGGGUAAUGAUGUGCCUGUGUUGACGAUUUGAUUCCAGAUCAAAUCGCUUGCAUUAAUUGGGUCAUUCUGGCCUAGUUUUUGCGCAUAACCAUGAACAACUAGACUGCAAUAACCUACUAAGAAAGCUUUUGUACAUUUAGCAGGUUAUUUGCCAAACUGGAAAAUGGAUGAAUUAUGUCAGGAAAUCUCAAUCCUGGCAGAAGUUUAUUGCUAUCCAUUUGCAUUUUGACUCUCCAACAAUUGCCACUCUUUGAUUACUCUAGAUUUUGGAUAAUAUUUUCCUCUCUGUCUUCCACAUUGGUCUUGAAUCUUGAUGAUCUUCAGCUUCAUCUGUAUGCUUAUUGUGGUGGUACUCAAGAGGGUCAAUCUGGCACUCAAGACAUUCGGUAGGACAUCCAGCCUUCGGUGUUUGGUGCCAAACCUGCUUGGAAAUUCUUAGUCUACUCCUGAACAUUCUUGAGGCUCCCUUGUCUAUUAUUCCUCACCACAAUUUCAUCCAAACCUUUUUGGCACAAUAUAAAGCAGGUUUAAAGAAUGCUGCUUUUGGGAUAUCGGAAAAGCUGACAAGCAGCUUUUCUCUCUUCCUCUUCACCCCGAUAAAUUUUUCUACCAAAUUGUCAAAUUUGUUUAUUCAGAAUUAUUUUUAGUCAAAUAAAUUUAUUCAAACAAAUCCCUCCUCCCUUGCUCCAGAUGUUUUCCUCGUAUUCUGGAUAAAACUACGUUGCUAUCAAAGAGGGACUACACCAAUCUGGUGCUCUCCUUUACGCCAUUUUGAAUUUUAAUAUAUUUGUUCUGUCAAAAACGUUUUCAGAGUAAAUACUGUUAUCGACAAUCAAAACACAGAUUCCAUCUCUACAGAUUCUUGAAGAUGUUCUCUUUAGUUAUUCUCCAUGUCUGUUGGUUCCCUGUACUGUGACCCCAUUUGUCCAUCCGUGCUCCCCUUUAACAUAGCUGUGAGAAAUUAUCUUUAUUUUAUGUACCUCCUUUGGCUACUUACAUAUUUGAUUCCCAGCAAAAUUUCUGAAGGAAAUAACCUUUUUUUUUUAUCAUUUACUUUGCAGGUUCAACAAAAAAGCCCGAUGAUUUGUAUAGGAUUGUUGAGCAUUUCUCUCUGGGCAGGAGGCGGCUUGAACUGUUUGGUGAGGACCAUAAUAUUCGUUCAGGUUGGCUUACAGUAGGGAAGGGAUUAUCAUCAUCUAAUUUUAAUGCUGAGGUAGGAAAUUGCUUACCCUAUGUUUCAUGCUCUUUUUUUUCACCCCCUCCUUUUGGAUACCAAAUUCUCUGAUUUUUUGCUUGCAUAGGUAAGGUUUGUGUUCUGUAAUCCUGAUGACAAGAAUACUGUACUGCAGGCAUAUAUGAGGAAUUUUGCAGACAAAGAGGGGAAAGUUUGGCAAGGAGGUGGGGGGCGGAAUCCACCACCUGAUGCUCCUCAUCUCGUCCAAACAACCCCAGACAUAGAAAGCUUGCGGCCCAAAUCGCCUCCCCCAAAGAAUCAGCUGCAGCAGCCCAUACCUCUGAUGUCUAAUAGCAAUUCUAAUAAGCGAAGAUCUGUGGGAAAUUCUCCACAAAAUGCCCCAUCUAUUCCCUUUUCUGGGUUUUAUCAGGACGCUUUGGGUCCAGACGCUCCUUCCCCAAUGGGGGGAUUGAAAGGGCCAGAUGGUGGCUAUGGGGGGCCUGAAAAUGGAAUUUUUGAAGGUUUUGGGUUCAACGGUUGUGCACAAACAGGUGCUGAUUAUCAUGAGUUUGAGUCUCACUGAGCAGUCAAUCUCUUGUAGCUGUGAUGCAUGGCUAUGCAAUAUUUAUUCUCAUUUAUUUUUGAUAUUAUAAAAGAAAUGCCUUGUGCCAGCUCCGCAUCAUUGCAUGAGAUUAUGUCUCAUAAGUUCCCCAGGAGCAGCAAGAAUUACAAAUGAGUAUCUGCCCAACAGCUUCUAGCAUGUGUUGAGCCGUAGUAUGUGUUUACGAUUAUCAAAUGAGAUGUUUCAAACCAUAGAAAUUGUUUAUAUAUUUGGUGUUUGGUUAUAAUCUGUCAUAAAUUUCUCUUUUGUUUUCUAAUUCAAUCUCUUGGGCGGAGGAAGCCCUCAUACCGCUGAACAAUUUUGCAAAAGUAUGUGUCCUCGCAAGCAGAGAUUUGUAUGUGUUUCUUAUUGUGGAGCUAGGGUGAGUCUUGAAAUCUUGUGAGGAGUGUUAAAGACGUCUGAAAAGAUUCCCGAGCCACAGCUGCACUGGAUGAAUUCGUGCUCACUGAAUUAAAUCAUGGACAGUACAUCACACAGGAACCUGACAGCAGUCGGAGACACAGGAUUUGAGUUUGCUUCGUGAUACCAUAUGGGUUAUCAAAUCAUAGAAAGAUAGACAUUAUAAAAACUAUAAAACCGAAUCCCAUUUUCUACUUUUUCACACGAGGCAUUUGUUAAAAUCUAAACUGCAGCCCUUCGAUCUUUUGCUUUCAUGGGUUCUUAUAACAUUUUGGCACGGUACGUUUCUUGAUGCCAUAUUUAGCCUACUGCGCCGCUUUGGCAUCAUUGGCAUGUUCAUAGAUGCAAUAUAGGUUCCUCAUAAUUUCUUAUAAUUCAAAGAUGACUCAGAUUUCCAAGAUGACUCAGAUUUUCCAAGAUGACUCCUAAAAAUGUCAAAGAAUCGCAUUUUAUUAGCUGCUUGAGGGGGGGAAAACGAUGUACAUACAUAUCCGAAACCAGCAACAUGAGCCAGACUGCUAGCUUUAAAAUUCUCUGACCCAUUAAUGGUGCUAAGCCCAUCUCCGAUCUUAUGAUACAAAUAUCACAGACACAAGCUUACAAGGAGAACAAAAUUCCCUUCUAUCACCAGAAAUUCCUAACCUUUUAGCUCCAGUAUCUAGUAGGGACAAAGUUAUUGUCCCCUUGGCCAGUCGCUUGCUACGAUCAUGCUCAUGUAGAAAUUAUCAUCUAUCAUUCUCUGCCUUCUCAGAUGAAGGUACUUGAGCAGCAGCUUCUGGAGCAACAGGAGAAGCUGGAACUUCUGAGGAAUUGGCAGCUGUGACUUCUGAAGUUGAUGAUGUUGCUGUCGCAUGACAUGUUAAUCGUCAUCACAUCGAUGAAUGACACACACAAAAUUGAAGGCAAAAUAAGGAGCUUCAAUUCAGUGGCAUGAAGUGAUCAUUAUAGCGGCCUACCUUGUAGUUGUUCUUCAGAAGUGGGUGCCUCUGUUUGAGGUCUGGUAGCAGAUGCGGCCAGCUGGUCUUCUGUCACUUUCACAAGCUCUUCACUGGUGUAUGGUCCAGCUGAAGGCUUUCCAUCUGCAGAAAUAAACUAGCUUUGUGUAAUUCAAAGAGACAAAACAAAUAAAUUUAGAAUAUAAGAAGCAAGCGAAAAUUCAAAAGUGGUACACAGCAACCAAAGAGCAUACGAUGCGACUUUUUUCAAGAAAAUUUAAGACACCGAUUCCUUCCCAAUCUUUUUUGCUUAAAUUAAAAGUUAAAAAGAUUAUUAUCCAUUCUACUAUAUUAGGCAUAAAAAAUAUCUUUUUGCUUACUUGGGUCAACUACAGCUUGUUGAUUUUCAUUGACAUUUGAAGUGGGCUUGAUGUUGUAAUUCGUUGAAGAUGCAACUUCAUCAAGUCCUAUCUCCCGUUCAAGGGUGCUCUUGAAUUCCCUUGACACCUCCUGCAGCAUAAGAACCAUCAACCUGAUAUAUGUCCCCAAAUUACACAUAAGAUAAUGUUGCUAUAGUGUCUAAUUUUCUACAAAGCUGUUUUCAUUCUUUGGACAUUUCAUAGCUUAUCAUUUUUGCCGGUAAAAGUAUCCUAUUUCCAAAGGAAGCCAAGUAGACGAAAAGCAUAAGGAAAAAUAAGAGCAGUGUUUUAACCAACCUGAAGCUCUCUUAUUGUUGGCUGGAAAGCACGCAGAGUCUUUCCCAAGUUGCGUGCUACCUGCAUUUAAUCAACUUGCUCAAAAGACUGAAUAUAUAGGUUCGACCAAAGAAAAAUAAACCUUGAUUUUCAUUAUAAUUAGGAAAGGAUAAUUAGGCAGUUAAGAGUGCACAUCCUUUUUUUAUGCAGUCCAUCAUAGCAUAAUUUUCUUUCCUCUUUCAUAUAAACUACCUAAACUAUUGUAUUUUCAUGUUUAGCUUUAUAUAGUAAUUUACUCAAAACAACAAAAAAUGUCAUCUUAUUGUGAACUGAUUGAGUAGGAUAAGAACAAAAGGGCUACUCAAUGAACAAAAGUGUUAGGGGUGAUAUACAUUGAUGCAUUAUGAGGACUGGAAUUUAAAUUUGAAAAAUCAAAAACUCUUGAAUAAGUGAAAGAAAGGAACUGAAAAAGGCAAACAUCUUAUAAAGUUUUGAAAAAUCAACUAUAUAAGAAACGUAACACAAACUUGAAACUAGACAUCUGCAAGCUCCAUCCCAUCUGUUAGAGGCUAGCCUUCGAACAUGUUUCACCAUUUGUGCAUAUCCAAGGUUACGAACUCUAAAGCUCAAUUAUUGAUCAAUGAUCUUGCAUUUGAUUCUACAUCUUCAUUAAAGAUUCUCUAUUCACCUCAGGUCGAUUAAGAUCAGAUAUUUUCACUACAAUAUUAAGACUUGGACCAUGCUAUAGCUGACACGGUAGCAAUUAUUCAGCCAAACUGCAUAUGCUAACAAGUUAUUGGACUCCAUACCACUGUUGUCGCCACCAUGGUGCUAUUCAAAUAGCUAAAAAUCAGUUUUGCUAGUAAAUUAAGUGCAGAAAGAUCAAUCUCUUCUUCUUUUAGCACCAUUAAUUGGUCUACAAAUUUUUAUGUCCAUGCAUGAUGGUCUAAAUGAAAUUAUAUGCAUCAUAACAUUAGUCUAGGAAAUAAGCUUUUAUUUUACAAAGAAAGGAGCUUACCUCGGCUAGUCCUUUAGGACCAAAGACUAGCAAAGCCACCACUCCGAUAACCAGAGCUUCUGGAGCUCCAACUCCAAACAGAGAAGCAUAAACAAUUUUACCACAACAUUUUCGCUUCUUUUCUGCAGCAGAGAAGAAUAAGAAUCAAAUAUAUCAGUAAAUAUGAUAGUAAAUUAUCCAACAAGUAUGAUAAUUAAAAAAAAAGGUAGGUAAUGAGGGCAUGACAUAAAGCUGACAGUUAUAAGUAAAGGAUUGUAGUAUACACAAGACGAAAAAAAUAGUAACUCAAUUAUCAGCAAGAAGAUGGAAUAGCAUGGAAGUGUUAACAACUCUUCCUCCCAUCGGAAAACGUCAAUGAAUGAAACAGAACAAGUGAAGCAGAAAGAAGAAUAAAAAUCAGUCACACCCUAUAUCAGCUAGACUGCACCAAGAAACGUUUCAAGAGAAAAUGUUCAUGUGUAGGACUCUCAUUGCAUAGAAAUAUACACAUACACACAUAGAUACAUACAUACAUAUAUAAAAGCUAGUAAAUUGUAUAAAACUUAGGCACAGAAAGUUUUAAUUUGCAGAAAAACACCAAAGUUAUACAUUAAAGAGAAUAUUUGUAAAUGAUACAGCAAUUUUACAUACCAAAGAGAAUAUUUGUAAAUGAUACAGUGAAAGUGAACUACAAGUAUUUUUAAAUUAGCUAAAAAGGCUAAAUACAAACAACAAGAACCAAUUUCAGAAAAACUAAUCUCAGAGAGCAAUCACUAACUAGCAUGAAAUAUGGUAACCAAACACAUGGUAAUGGUUAAAACAUUUUUAUACAAAGAGAAAACAAAAAACAAAGUAAUAUCGCCUGAAUUAUUACAAAUUUUAGGCCUUACAACUGUUGUGUAAAUAUUAAACUACUUAAAAUCCAGCGACUUCCACUUAAACUAGUGUUUGCAAAGUACCAUAGAACUGGCCUUGUUAAGAAUAAGGUGCAUCAUGUGUAAAGAGUGUUGUAGUGGAUAGGAUACUCCACAAACAGGGGCAUUUCUUCAAAAUAUCAAGGUUCAAUGGGUUAUUAGGGGUUCCAUCCUAGUUGAUUUUUCAUGAUCUUUUAUCCCUAAUCCCCAAAAAUAUAAUACAUUCCUCUCAUAACUUUGGAGUAAUUAUAACAUACUUGUGGCACCUGACAUUCAUAGAUUAAGUUAUUAAUAGAGGUGUGAGUGGUUAGAGUAGGACCAGAUUCGAUCUAUAUCUAACUUGAUCUGGUUCAAUUCAUAGCUGAAAUUCAAAACCAUGAGACGUUUAUCAGUCGCAGGCUGUUAGAAAAACUAUAACAAGGUGGGAAUGAAAACAGUAAAUAUUAAACCUAGAACAGGAACCAACCUGAUCAGACAUGCAAAAACUCAGACAAAACCAAUAAAAUUAGUCCUGAUGUCUUGGCUGAUCCUACGUCUUAGAAAAAACCGGAACUUGAUCUGAAAAGGGAUCCAACUCAAACCUAAAUUGGAAAGGAACCUCCAACCCAUCCAGUCAACUGCAUGAGUUGACUAUGAGACUAAAUUGUUGUAUCCUAAGCUAGUUCCCGGUUCAGAUUUGAGUCAAUUGUACCAUAACAAUUUCUCAUCCAUUUCUACCCUCAGUUAUUGAAAGAACAAGUUCAGCACAUUAGAAGCAACUUAGUAAUCUAUAUGUAAUGAGAAAUGGAGAGUUGUGCAAUUGUUACUUCUUACCAUAUUGUGUGGCUUUUUUUAAGACCACUCCAACUUCACGUGGCAUGAUGAAUCUCUAUUCAUGCCAUUGUGUAAGAGUUGUGAAUCCUUACACAACUCUUGCCUCUUCACUUACAGUUGAGUACUCUCAAAAGCUAAGCUCUGGUGAUGUUGCUCUAGUGUGCAAUGUCAAGGCUCUGUACUAUGUGACUGCCAAUGCAAUGAUAACAAAGCAGCACAUCAAGGUGCAAUUAGCACUGUUGCAAAGGAGACAUCACAUAGUCCAUCACCCUAUGAGAAAAAAAAAUACUUAUUUUAAUUAUCGCUCAUCUGAGUUUUCUUUUGUUUCUGCGAAAUUACACAAAGACAUCAUUUAUUUCUUCUUAAAAACUUUUUUUGUGAGGUUCUAUUUUUGUUGAUAACGAUAAUGGUGCCUACAGGCGUUUGGCAAAGCUCUGAGAAUCAUGGUUUUGUGGAAUUGGAGUUCAUGUGGUGUUGGCGGAGCAACCUUUCCAAUGUUUCAACUUUGUAUUCAUUUUCCUACUUCAGUUUAUCCAAACCUUUAACUUCAACUUAUAGAAACUCUUUUACACACAGAAUCCCAUGUUCCAUGAAAAUUCACUCGACGCUUUAUGAGGCUCGAGUUACAGUCCUGCUUGUUCCUGAUAUAUCCUGCAUGUGAUUGCUGGCCCAUGAACAUCGAAGAUAAGACAUCCAAACACUAAUUCGAACUCAUGCUCUGUGAAUUUGUAAAGCAGCUUGUUUUGUUAAGACUAUGAUCCAUAAGUUCCUACAUGAUCCUGUUUUCUGCUCCUUUAUUUCCACUGUAACGGCAAUCACUUCGAAAAAAACAGGAAUAAUGAAAAUUUCCCCACAAUUCUAGGCAAAGCGGUAAAUGAAAGAAUAUAUUUAGCAGCCAAUAAAUUAAUAUUUAAAAUCUAUACCCAUUUUUUCUAGAUAGAACAAGGAUUUCGCACAAAAAUUAUAUAAAGCCAGAAUAAAGCUAUAAAUGAAAGAAAAAGGAGAAGGAGGCUACCUCUCUGGCCGUAAACUUGCCGGAAUGAGAUGCCGAUCUGCUUCAGACCGAUCCAUGAUGAGAGAGGGACGAAUCCCAGGCGGAGAAUCGAGCCGUGGGCGAGGCGAGACGCUAGGGUUCGGGAAGUGACGAUGGGAAGAGACGAGGAGGUGGAGGAGAGGAGGAGCGGCGUCGUCGGAUGGGAAUAGCAGCAGAGCGUGGGAAAGUGGGUGGCCGAGCCCAUAGCCGAGAGAGGAUGAGAAGGAGCGAGCGAGAGUGGUUGGGGUUGGAGCAGAAGUUGCCCGUGGAGUGUAUUGAUUGAUGGUCGUCCAUCUUGUGAUGGCGGCCAUCCAAAGGAGCCAAACUGAAAUUUUCUUCUCAUAACUUUGAUUUUGUUUAACUACGAGCUAUUUCAAAUGGAGUCCAUUUUCAGCAUCACACCUGGGAGAAAACAAUAAAGAUCGCCGCCAAGGUGGUCGCACGAUUGGAAUGAAACUAAAAUUCCACCAAAAUGGCUCAAGUUCGAAACAUGCUAACGUCGAUUAAAUGUGGGAACCACUAUACCCUUCCUCUGAUCUGUCCGGUGAAGUCGCCAUCUGGUCCGCCGGUAUUGAGAUGGCGCUGGGGUGACAUACUCACACGUAGAGCAAUCUACAGGUUGGGAGGGUAUGACGUUCCGUCUACUUGCAUUGAGGGCAGGCGGAGUUCCACCUCUCUCCCUCCUCCUUUUGCCUAGGCAAAAAAAAAAGCAAUAAAGAUCAAAUAUAUAUAUAUAUUUAAGAAGGAAAUUUGUUGAGAUUGUGGACUUUGAAUCAAUGAGUAAAGAGGAGCAAGAAAGAUUGAGUUGGUAACCCUUUUUAUGCUGCACAACACUCUGCGGCGCGGCCUGGAAUUGUAGACUUUAGAUCAAUUAGUAAGUUGGAGUAAAAAAAGAUGAGUUGGCAACCAUUUUUUUCAGGUUGCACAACACUUUGUAGUGCAGCCUAGGCACCGCACCGCAGAAAAAUCAUGCUCGUGGGGUAAUAAGCAAGGGCAGGAGCGGACGAUCCAUGACCUAAUUCGUCGGCUUGAUGCUAACUUGACCCAAGAUAAACGGGCCAGUGUGACAAAAAUAUAUUCAUGUUGUAGAUGGGUUGACCUAUCGUCUAAUUUAAACAUCUAAAUGGUUAUUUUAUUGGUAAAAGAAACGAUUAAACCUGUACAUGCAUAUUAUAGCUUAAUUUCUUAAAAGAUAAUUAUAUUAAUUUUUAAAAUAAUUAUUUAAUUAUAACAUAAUCCUUUCUUUUUUGUGGUGGAUAAAAAAUAAAUCCUUUUUACUAUUAAAUUCUUGCAAAUACAAGUGAUGUGUGUAUACACAUGAUAUAUUUAUGUGCUUCUACAUAUACACAAACAUACAUAUAUGGACAUAUCAUUGCAAAAUAAUUUAUAAAUAAUUCAAGUCCAUAUUAUACGUGUGUUGCUACCCAUCAGAUGAAUAAAUUUUAUACAUGUCCUAUAUAUACCUAAGAUUUUUAAUAUCUAAAGUUGAUGUGAUGGUCAAAAUUUAUAAAAGUAUGAUGCCAAACUAUUUUUCUUCUUUUCUUUUCUUCUUAAUUUUUUUGAGACUAAGAGUAGCCUUCCUGUCUUCUACUCCAUACUACCCCCCCUCUCGAGGACGAGGCCCAUUAAAAUUGACUCCUUGCCCCUUUGCUUUAAGUAGCAAGAGAUGAAAGUAUUGGAGCAAGUGUUUGGUAAUAGCGUUCAAAACUAUCUUUUUAGCACAUAAUAUUAUAAUUUAAAAUUAUUAUUUGCAUGCACCUCAAAUAAUUAUAUUUUUGUAAUUAUAUUCAUUUUUUAUUUUUGAUUGAUAACAUUAAUAAAUAAUCAUUUUAAGUAUAAAUGAUACUAUUAUCCUUUUGCAUUAGAACAUUAGAUAUAUAAAAAAAAGAUCUAACUCUAUUAUGAAAACUAUAUUUUUGGAUGAAUUUUCAAGAAUGUUAGUGCAAAAGCAAUAAGAUUAUUUUACAUUUAACAUAUUUAUUUAUUAACAGCUAUAUUCGAAAAUCUAACAUAAGGGCAUUAUUGUCAAAACUGAAUUAUUUGAGGGAUAUAUAUAUAAACAGUGAUUUAAGAAUAAAUAUAUGAUAAACUAUAUUUGCCAAGAUAUAUAUAUAUAUAUAUAUAUAUAUAAAAUAAUAAUAAUAAUAAUUUAUCAUAAAAUAUAACCAAACAAUAAAACAAGCCAUCAUUUCUUUUCCUUUAUUUUUUUUUCUUUUCUUUCUUUUCCAAAGGUUGCUCCACACUGUCUUGCCCUCCCCAACCCCUUCAUUAACAAAAAAAGAAAAGAAAAAUGUUACUUUAUCCAGAUGUUUUUCUUCUAAGUUUGCUUGGGCAAAACCUACAUUGGUCUCUGUUCCCUUGCUCGAGCUUAUCUUUUCUGAUUUAGUUGGCUUUGUUCACACUUGCGCGUAUAAGCUAUCGUUGUACCAAAAAUAAAUAAAUAAAUAAAUUUUAAUAAACAAUUUUUUUCUAAAUAAAGAAUAUCUCUAUUAGCCUUGCGUGAUGCAUGUGCCAAAUGCUCACAUAUAAACAUGUUAGGAGGGCAGAUCGGGUCUAGGCUAUAGGAUACACAAGCAAUAAAUAAUCUAUUUAGAUCGAAGCAAGUCAAUUACGUGCUACCGCUUAAGAAAUUCAAUCCCAAUCAACUUUCAAGAUGAACCAACUUGGUUUGAUUUGAAUUGUCGCAUUUAGCAUUUUAUAUUUUACCAUGUUGCGCAAAACAUGGACAAUAAUCCUCUAUAUGUCACACAAGCCAUACCAUGUCCCUCUCAGGGUCUCUUAAGCAGACCAAUGUUAGACCCAAUUCACUAACCCAGCAAAAAAACUUUGACAUAAACUUACCUUGUCUGGAUUUGUCAUUAAUAGGUUCUUUUAUCAAAUGGAUGGUGCUUAUGUUCGGAGCUUCGAUCCGUGCAACCUAGUUCAACACAUUCAAUAAUGAGCAUGAACCGGCAUGAGUAUAACUCAACUCCAUAUGUAAUCCAUAGCUAACCUUUUUGUCUCUAAGAUUCGAUAAUUUAUCCAUAUUAGCAAGUUAAAAACAUGUUAAGUUGAACCGUUAAGAUUACCAAACCAAAACUGACCAAUUUACAAAACAAAGUUCUAGAUCUGGGACUUAAUUUAUCUAUCUAUUUAGUUAUUUAUUAAGAAUUUUCUCACAGCACCUAUGCGUCAGCUUGAUGCAAAGCCGAUUCACUUCCAGCCUUGCUCCAAGGGGAUGAUCCCGCUGGCCCCCACAAAUAUCGGAAGCGGAAUAGUGGCCGCACGUUUACAACGACGCACAGCAUUCUCCCAACCCUCGAACACGUUAUCGAUCGCACUCCACUGUACUAGAGGGUUCAAAUAACGGAGUCCUCUUGCGUCCCUUUCGUUCGCUGCGGACCUCCGCUCAGAAAAAGCCAUGCGAGGGUGCACCUGAUGGCCUACGCUAUCCUUCGAGUGCAAGCAAAACGACAGCCCCCUCGCCAUCCAUGGUUGGACUCAUUCCAUCCCAUCCUGCCCGGUCUAGACCGCACCAUUUGGAUAUAUUGCGCGGUGUGGACCCCCUCCUCAUAAAACGUACCCGUCCCAAAAGCUGGUGUGCAAGGAGAGAAAAAGGGGGUGGACCGCGUAAAAAGUUGUUUGGAUGGAUUAUGGGUCCAAUUCAUUCUGAUAUCAUUUAUAACAAUUCAGAAUUUCAUCUAAAAUAGUUAACCGGAAGAUAUUAUUUGAGUUUCUUAAUCAUGUAUAAAUAUAUAAGAUCUAUUCAAUAAAUAACCGAUAUAGAACCAUACGAGUUUUAACAUGUUUUGAACUUUUUAUCAUUCAUGCGGGUAAAGUUAGUCAUGGCAAUAUGAUGUCACUUUCCUUCGGACCAAAGUGCUUAGGUUAGGAUUAGGCUUUCCUACCUAAUUUGACACGACUUAAGCAGUUGAUUGCCGCCCGAGAAGUCUCAAUGCUGUUGAAACGCACAUGACGUGCGCCAUUGUCUGAGUUAUCUUCAGUAUCCAAGUGUUUUGAGGUUGCACUCAUAAUGAGAGUUGCCAUACUGCCAUUUGGAAAUCAUGGCAACUUUGAGAUCAUGGUGAACCAUAAAUUCUACGUCAUAUGAAUUCACUUUUUCACUGCCAACGAGUCUAUUUGCAUCAUUUGCCGGAUACGAAUCACAAAGUCCACCCAUAUUAUAUAUUCCCUAAAUUACUUUCCAAAGCUUGACACGUGGGAUGGUCAAGUCUUUAUACCAGGUCGAUAACUAUUUUUGCUUUCUACUUUGCAAGUCGAGCGAUGUGAACAUCUUAUCAGCUGCCGGUCCUCGCAAUCUCAUCUAACAAUAACCAACAUCAUGAAUUGAAUUUAAUUAUUAGAGCCCUGUAACAAUAGGAGUACGGAUACUUAUAGCUCGUUAAUGAUCACCAUUCUAUUCACAUGAGACAUGGGGAUUAGGGAUUGGCGCCUAACAUUUUACAAUCAAUGGUGUUGGUUGGGUCAUAUCUACACCCAGUCAAAUGACCAACUUCCGUGUCUCUGUAUGUAUUUUCUUUUACUAAAACAAAUAUUUCAUACACUAUAAAUAUAAAUACAUACCAUAAAAUUAAAAAAUAAUAUAUCACAAAGUGUACAAAACAAUUUUCAAUCUGCAACUCAUAAAAUAUCGCUAGAGUAACUCGUUCAUUGAUCUUUCUAAAUAUCUGCUUGGUCUGAAAUUUUAUUUUAUCUUUCAUUAUUGCCUAGAUUCGAAGUAGGGCGACCCGCUCCACCGCCACUCAGCCGUAGCUCUCCAUCCAUGUGAACUUGACGGUAAACCGUAAACUACUCUGGUUUUGUACCCAAGGACGACCACCCAUGCUGACAGCAUGACACGUCAGUGAGUAGCCCCUCUAUCCAUGGGUCCCACCGUCACAUGAGUUGCGUCGCCGGAGAAAGUACGCGUCUAACCCAGCACGAGCGCCUGCCCAAAGUCAAAAAGCCACGCUCUGGAUAAUGCCAGCAAACUCAAUACUUAAUCCCACCACUUAAUCACGCGCAAUCCUACACAAACCUCCACGCCAACCCCCCGGUGCGCACCCUCACUUUGUAGUCCCGCACUGGGACCCACACAAAAGGCGGGGUGCAUGGAGAUUUAGGUUUCUAAUAGGGAUAAUAUUAGAUAUAAUGGGGCUUAUGGUGGGCCCCGCGGCGACCACACGUGGGGCAUCAGCUUCUACGCCACGGUUCAGCGAUUAGCGUGAGCUCCCAUGCGAAGCGAAAGGUCGCCGCUAGCUACAAUAAUUACGUCAUCGUCGCACACGUGACAUCUCGUUUCUCUCACCCCAUACCAAAUAUAGCUUCGCUUCUUGACUUAUUUACAGUGCAUGCCACCGAGUGUGUGGACAUCGUGGCCGUUCGAUGUUAAUAUCUGUUCCAUCGGACGAUUUUGAUUUGUUUGAGAUGGAGAAAUAAUUAAAGAAAAGGUAAGUUGCUAAACCGGUAAUUUUGCGCCAACUAACCGCAACGUUUAAUGGCGUGCUCGACCUUCAUUGCGACGCACGGAGAAGAGGAGAAGGGAGGAAGAGGAGGGGGAAAAAAAGGAAAAAGAAAAGAAUUUUGUUAUUUCCCUUGAAAUAGAAGUGUCUUUUAUCUCGCUCUCGUUGCUCGCCUCGCGUUUUCGACGGUGUCGAUGGUUUUUAUGCUUUUUUGCUUUCUUGGGUGCAGUGGCUUUUAUUUGGGAUGAUUUUUGGGGUUUUCGGCGAAAUUUUUUUAUUUUUGUGCCGAGAUUUGGGUUGGGGUGGCCGGGAUUGAUCUCGAACGGGAGGAGAUUGGGGGGGAUUUUGGAGAGAAUUAGGGCCUUUUUCCUCCCCAGAUUUGAGGAGGGGAAGAGAUGAGAGGAGUGAAUAAUAGCGUGGAGACGGUGAAUGCGGCGGCGGCGGCGAUCGUCUCUGCUGAGAGCCGGGUCCAGCAAGCCGCCGUUCCGGUAAGUCCGAAGCUCCUUCUAGCGAUUUCUUCUGUUAUGAUUUCUCGAUUUGAUUCUUAUCUUUUAGAUCGAUGUGAUUGUCUGGAAUUGGUGGUUUUUGUUUUUCUAGUUUUGUGAUUGAUUGAAUUACAAAUUGAUCUUGCCGCGGUUUUGGAACGCAAGAAUUAUCUGUGGAUUUCCAUUUCUUUUAGUUCUGAUUCAUUUUUAGUUUUAAGGUUCGAGAUCAUUUUAUUUCCAGCCAGAUGAGAUGAUGAGCUGCGAUGAGAUCAAUGAUUAGUUUAUUACCUACGUUUUCAUGCUUUCUCAGUGAAAUUAUUGUGGUAUGAUGGUUGUAGUCAUUGUUCUUCGAUUUAAUAUACCUUACUAUACCUGAAAAUUAUCUAGCUUUAGGUCGGAUCAUUAAUUAAUAGACCGUCAAGUUGUUUUUUUUUUUUUUCUAAAACAGACUUUUUUAGUAGUUUGGUACUAUGUUAUCUGGCUGUAUGCAAAUAUUGCUGAAUGCUUGGUCUUGCCUCUGUUGGAUGCUUAGAGUGAGUGGUUGCGGCUUAGUUGUAUCUGGAAACUCGACAAUCAUGGAACAUCACUUGAAUUGCUAUUUGAGUAUCCAUUUAACGAUUUUCGCUUCUUUUUUUUUUUUGGUGGGAACCAUUUGUCUCAUAAUAUUUCAUCACUCCAGUAAUAUAUUGUGUUCUGGUCAUAAUCUCAGUUAGCAUGGGCUUAUUUCUGCUUUACCCCAUAUAGAAGCCUUGGUAGUAAAUGCAGAAUUUAUAAUUUCAUUAUCUCUGUCUUGGCAAUGACUAUUUAGUUUCUUGCUUUGUAAUGAGUUUUGCUCAUGUUUUCUUGGAAUAUGUGGGGUUUCAAUUGAGAUUCCUCAGGUUUUCAACUUGCCAAUCCGUUUCACUCUUGUUAUUCAUCAAUCUUGAAUUCCAAAAUGUAUCUCCCCAUUAAUUCUGAUUGUUGACGUAUGUGUAGUUCAAGUCUCUGUUGGGCCAUGUAAUGUAACUUCAAAGGGUAUCCAUGCCCAGAAUGCUCUCAACAUAAAACUAAAAUGUGUGAUAAUAUUUAUUUGUAUUCAUUUUCUAUUGCACAAUGACCGAUGAUUGUAUUUUUUUUUAUUAUCAACAUGUUGUGCUGAAAAUAUGUUGUUGAUCUAUAUCCUGGAUUAAUGCAGCAUGUGCCUUCAUGAAUGAAUAAAUUUGAUAUUAGAUUGGAACAGCGAUUGUACUCACCCAAUAAUUUUUCCUUUCAAAGACAAACCAUGAAUAUUGUUUUAGCAUCGAAUAAGAUGGAAGGUGCGAGGCCAAGCAUGUUAUAUUAACUACUUAUCCAAGGGGUUUAGUUAAAUUCAGCUGACAUGGGCUGGAGGGCCUUGUGUAAGCUUCAGAGUUUCUUAGCCAAAGGCUCAACUAGCUAAGUGAUAGUGUGAACUAUGGAGCAAAAAUUAAACUGAAAGCCAAUUAAUUUUAAAGAGCUAGAAACAAGGGAGCUAAGAACUAUGCUAAUCUAAAAGGAUAACCAGUAACUUUGCCGUCCUCAUUAUCAAGAGGGCUUCUCUAAACCAAGGACUCCAAUUAAUGCCUCAAAGAACGUUGAGACCAAGGAUUCUACCAACAGGCCUUGUUGUCAUCCUCAGAAUUCAUCAGGACCUGCACAAAAUCCAUCACACAAGAGAAAGAGGAGUAGAAUAGCACCCAAAAGAGAAUAAUUCAUUGGCUGAUGAAAAUAUGGGGUACAUAGGUGGUAUUUAUAGGCCUUGAGACCCCUUACAAGUGAUAGGACCAAGUAGAUAUCCUUGCAAUUUAAAAAUAAGUAACAAACAAACUCAUAAUAAAUGCAAACUACGUAUUCUUGCCAAAAAGGCACUUCUAGAAAAAAAAAAGUGUUCCGAUGAUGACCUAGCUUCCGUUGGACUGCUUGUAAUGGUAGUUAUCCUACUGUCAGAUCUCAUCCGACAAUGAAAGAUUUAUUGUCAGUUUCCUCAGUCAUGGUCUUGGACUCGGACUUGGUCUCUGGUUCUUUGGAUGGUUGGUAAUAUGCCGUCAGAGCUGGAGGAGUCAAACUCAAACUUGGUUGCUUUGUCUAUAAGUCUUCCAAGGAGUGGUUUCUGAUGGUGAACAUGGACCGUCUAACGUUUCCUUGAUGGCAAUUACAUUGCCUUGUGAUCUAGUUCAUGUUACUAGCCUGCUUUGUAAUCUGGGUGUUGGGGCCGUUUUCGAUUGGCAAUCAUGUUGUUGGCUCUUGAGGAGGUGAAUUGUUUUGUUCAUGAUCGUCUAGCAUGUGUUCUUUUUUUUUCUUAGUACGGCCUUCUCUCCGCAGCUUGAUGAUAAUCCUCAUUCCAUCGAUCGUGAUGGCAUAACUUUUGUCUUGGUAAUUGAAUUCACCCUUGCAUUUGAAUGCCCAAGACUUCUUGAUAGGAUGUGGUGACUUCUUCAUUCAAGCUAGACCUCCAGCGAAAAGGUAUUAAACACCAUGGGCUUAUGUGUACAAUUGACUCAUCAAGUAAGAUCAUCUCUUACAGUUCUGGGAGAUCUUCGACCUUGAGAUCAACUAUGGAGAUGUGACAUUCUAUCCAUCUGCAUCAAUAGCCAACUUCACUUUUCUCUCAUGACAUAUUACAUGACUAAAGAUACUUGCAAUGACUGUGAAUUGGCUCUGUGCUUAGGGUCUAGAAGUUUCUUCUUGUUGCUCAUUUAGUGGUUAUAGAGUCGAAAAUGUUUGUUAGUGUGUCAACAUGCUUUACAUUAAGGUUCGCCGUCUCGUUGCAAGACUCUGUACUUGUGCCACACUAGCACAGCAUCAGUAUAGUAAUGUACGGAGUUUAUUUGGCGUACUAAGUGUUGGUACGCCAUCCGUACCGGUACUGGUACCGAACCGGUAUGGUACGCUCCGUACUGCCGGUUCGGGCUGGUACGACAUGCCAUGUUUUACAUCGUUGUUUGCACCUACCUCGAGGUCUCCUUGUUUAAGGAGAACCAGGCUUCAUGAUGUCUAGCUUAAGAUCUAGUGUAGCCGGUUGGACUCAUGGUUGUGGCAGAUUUCUGGUAGCUCUCAACUUGCUGCAAAGGAGCUCUCAUGGGCAAAGAUUGGUUGAAGUAGGACUCCUUAUAUGGCUGGGAAAUAUUUGGCUCUGGCUUUGAUCUGAUGGCAAGGCUAUUAUCGUCAAAAAGGAUCAAAUAGUGGAUAUGGUUCCAACAGAAGUAUUCUAAUCAUAUAUGAACUUGAUCGGGUGUUGGGAUUACCUAGGCCUGCUUUUGAUCUGAUGGUGGAUUCUGGCCAUAGUUAGGUUUCCGAAGGUGAGUGCUUUUCUAUUGGUAGGAUUCCAAUAGUGAAUUUGUUAUCAUCAAACGCCUUCUAACAAUGUAGCUGUUGUUGUCGAAAGCUAGAGAUGCUGAGAUUGCUUCUAAUCCAACUGUGGAUGUUGGCCAUAUAGGAUUCUGAUGGUGAGAGCUUUGCCAUUGGCAAGGUUUUGAUGGUGGGAGUGUUGUCGUUAGAUUCCUUUGGGCAUGUGCUAGGCCUAGUUGCAACAAAAAGCCAACUGGUAGCAAAUAUGGGGUCCUGGGUGUGCAAAUCGCCUUCCUUUCGGCCAAGUUAGGUUACGAAAAUAGGGUUGCAGCUAGGGUUGCGGGUGUGCGGUGGAUAUACCUGCAAGUGGAUGGCAAGCUAGUGUUAAGCCAUAGCAUAAAUCCUUGCGGGACGUGAAAUAGUCUCAAACCACCUUGGUAGGCCAAGAGGAUCUAAUUUCUCUCACUUAUUGAAACAAGAAAGUAAACAAUCAAGGGAGGAACAAAGUUUGACUUGUAACAAUACACCUUAUCCUACUUGUAGUCGAAUUAAAAUUUUGGAAGGCAAUUAAGAUUAAUCCGAGUUUGAGAGUAGCUAGAAAUUUUAAAAGCACGCCCCUUUUGUCGGAAUAAAAUUCUAUGUUAAACUCAAAUUAAAACCCAAGCAUCAUGACUCAUAUAAGCAAUCACUAGUCUAAAAGAAAAAUUGUUAGCAUAAACCCACUAGGAAAGAUCAAGCUCUAAUGCUAGAAGAGCUAUUGCAGGCUGGAGGGCCUAGCGCAAGCUUCAUAACUACCUAGUGGAAGACUCAACUAGCUAAGCAACCUAAACUAUUGAGAAAAAAUUAAACAAAAUCUAGAAGUAAGAAAAUAAAUUAAUUUUAAAGUUUUUUAGGCAAGGGAACUAAGAAUUAUGCGAAUAUAAAAGGAUAACUAGUAGCUUUUCAUCUUGCUACCAAGAGGGCUUCUCCUUGUCAAAGUCUCCACCAACUGAUGCCUUGAAGCAUGAUGCGACCAAGGAUUCUACCAGCCAGCCUCUCUAUCGUCUCUAGAAUCCACAAGAGCCUACAUAGAAUCCACCACGCAAAAGAAAGAUGAGCAGAUAGCACCCAAAAGAGUGUAACUCAUUGAGUCAUGAAAAUUGAGGGUACAUGGGGGUAUUUAUAAGCUCUCUUACAAGUGAUAGGUUCGACUAGAUGUCCUCGAAGUUCGAAAAUAAGUCAAAAACAAGCUUCCGAAUAUAUGCAAAUAAGUAUUCUCGCCAAAAGGGCACUUCUAAAAGAAAAGUGCUCCAUGACCUAGCUGCCUUCGGAAUGCUUCAGAUGGUAGUUGUGCUACCAUCAGAUCUCAUCUGACUGUGAAAGGUUCACGGUCGGUUUCCUCACUCUUGAUCUUCGACUCGUACUUGGUCUCUAGCUCUUUGGAUGAUUGGUAAUAUGCCAUCAGAUCUGAAGGAUUCUGACUUGGUAUUGAUUGCAUCGUUUUCAAGUCUUCUAAAAGGUCGCUUCCGAUGGUGAGCAUGGAACCAUCAUUUUUUUUUUGAUAACUGUCGGAAUAAAGGUGGGAUGUGGAUCAUUCUUGUUGCAGCACUGUUGGAAAUCUUCUGACAGUGAUUGCAUUGCCAUCAGGCUCUUCUUUUGAUGGUGAAUGGUUUAUCGUUAAUUUCCUUUUAACAGCACUUAGAUUGCUGUCGGGAUGUUUUUGACAGCAGGAUGUUUGCCAUUGGAUCAAAACUCGUUCCAUAUUUUUCUCUUGAGAGAUCUCAAGCUUUCGUAUGGCCCUUCUGAUGGGCUUGACUUGUGGGACUCUAGGUGAUUGUGACCAAAGUAGUCAAAUCAUAGGAUUGAGCAUCUCUGUCCUGCAUAAUCAGUGCUGUGCCCUUGGUUCAGUGACAUUAAGAAACGCAGAAUCCACACUUUUCUCUUUAAAUGCCCAACAGGCCAGGUUCUGGUUCUGAAACGACAUUUUUGCGCAUGCCUCAAGUUUUGUAGUAUAUGACCUUUUAUAGCACGAUAGCAGGAUAAUGACUGAACUCAUCACCAACUUUAUCUGAAAAGAAAAGGCAGGUUGUCUGUAGCAAUUUUGUUAAUGUGCACAAAUGUAGGUUAUAUAGAUUAGGUAUCAAGGUUUGAUCACUUUUUUAUUAAGAUGAGUAUAAAUUGAAACUUGCUUAAAAUUUUCUGUAGUUUUGAAUGAUUACUUUCUUUCCGAAACUAAAACUUUGCAGGAGCACUGCUGGUAAACCUACAAAUAGAAUAAGAAAACCAAAAGAGGCUGGAGAAAAGAAAGAGAGGAAACCAUACCCAUGGGGUAUAACUAUGCUGAAGCAGAAUGGCCAUUUAUAAGAAAGACAAGCAAAAGGAUAGUGGAGUUGAGGAGUGGAUGCUAAACAGAGUGUUCUUAAAAGAAUCUGGGCAUAAACUUAGUCUGGUAACAGAGCGGAGGGUGGAAAGCAGAGCAUCUCUUUGGCUCUUGAAGAGGAUUGGGUUCAUAAUGAUGCUUAAUUGGUUUCAUACUCAAGUUGUAGAGAGGUAUCAAGGGUUAGAACUGCAUGUUGAUCUUUAUAUAUGGAUAACAAUAGCUUUUCCAAGGAGUUGGGGGAGAGAAUAAAUUAUGUCUGCAAAAAGAACUUCUAUUAUGGUAAAAGAAUUGGAUACAGUAAACUACAGAUCUUGGAGUUAUAAUUUACUGCUCGGAUGUUCUUGUUAUAAAAAAAAGGAAAAUUUGAUUUUGAUAGCAUUGUUCUGUCAUAUUCUUUUUUGUUCUGCUGCGUGACUUGAGAUAGAAUUUUCUUAAUGGCAUUGGAAUGAUUUGAUGGACAAAUUGCAGUCUGAGAGGCCAUUGACUUUCUGCCUUUUGGGAGAGUUGAAGUGGCAGCUAGUUUUGCUUGUUGGCCAUAGCCAAGAACAACAGGUAAUCUGUUGGCAAAGGAUGGGCCAAUCCUUGUUUGUUAGAGUACAAGUACUCCAGAUGACAACUUCGAUAUGUUUCUGUUAGUUCUUUUCCAAUCAAAAAAUGGUUGGCCUUAAAUUAAGAUCUGUCAAUGCUUACGACUAUUGCAAGAAAAUGCAAAGUUUUUCAAAUCUUACUGUUAAUUAUUGAAGUAUGUGUCAAGAUGCCCUUUUAGAGAAGGUGACACAAGAGUUGGCCGUGACAAAUCUUUUGUAAGCAAAUCUACUGCAUCACAGACAGUUUUGUUUACAAUUAAACCUAUGUGGGGAAUACCUUGACCUUAGUUGAAAACUAAAAGAGGAAUCAUGAUGGCCUGUUCUUUUUUCUGUUCAUAGUAUUCCCUUUGUCAUUCUAGUUGUAUUCUGACCAUGGAUUGUUAAUAAUACUGAUGGUGAAAAUUAACACCCCAGAUGUACAAAUUGAACUGGAUGACCCUUUUCUGCUAGUUGUAUAAAGAACCUUUUCUGCUGUGGACCUAAGUAUCACUUCUUUGGAGAGAUUCUGUCAAGCUUCUCAGCAACACAAACAUCUGCACUGAUUUCCAAACAGGAUGUCUUUGAUGAACCCUAUUGGAUUUUGAUGUGACUUUGUUAAUAGAUAAUGAUAUCGAUGAGUUGACAUGGCUUUUGGUUCUUAUUUGCAUCUUGGACUCUGUGGUAAUGCCCUGACACCAUCUUUAGUAACUUCUCUCUUUACCAUGUUGCUAUAUCAGUGAUAUUAAUUAUGUGUGGGGAUCAUUAUAAAGGGAAAGAACUGAAUACAUUUUGGAGUUGAUAUAUAAUAAUAGCUAGAAUUUUGUAGAUUUAAUCUUCUUUAUCACAGUUUAUAUUUCCCCCUCUCAGGGAUCAUCAAAAGAGGUGACAAGCAAUUGGCUUGUCUUUCCCCCGCAGAGAUAUCUCAUUUUUUCUUAUCUUGCUCUCCCUGAUUCUUUCUUUCCUCACUUCCCUUUGAAAUUCAAAAGGUAAGAUGGACAUCACUUGGGGAGGAUUUUAAUCUCUGGUACUUUAAACCUGAAAUUCUGAUCAAGAAUAUCUAUCCCAAUGUGUAAUGAGAAAAAGUUUCUAGGUUGAGUUUUCAUUGUGGCCCAUUAUUUCAAAUUACUUGUUCCAUUUGUUACUCUCUCUCUCUCUCUCUCUCUUUCUCUUAAUUGGAAUCCAAGAAGGAGAAUUGUGAGCUUGACCUGUUUAUCAGCCACUAAAGCUAAUUACCACAGCUGAAGUUGAAGAUUUGACUAGCAAGUCAAAAGCAAACAAACUGUACAUUUAUUCCUCAAUUUUAUAUUUUUUGUUAAUUUUAUGAGCUCAUUUGUUUUCUAAUAUGUAGCUAUACUGUGUAAAUCUUUUUUAAUGACCCAGGUAACUGCAACUUAAUUUUCUGUGAAUAGUGCUGAGUGAAUAGAAGGUAAGGGAGAUCUUGGACAGAUAUUACUUAGAAUUAGACUUGUUGAAAACAAAUGCAGUUACUGCAACAAAAUGGUUAACUUAAAGUUUGGUCUAUUUUCUUUCUUUGUAACUAGAAAGAUUUCAAAAUAUGAUUACACUCAUCUAUCCUAUUUUUUUACUGGCAGAGGAGAAGGUGGGGAGCUUGUUUCAGUGUUUACUGGUGCUUUGGAUCUCAUAGACAUGGUAAGCGCAUCAGCCAUGCAGUCCUUGUUCCUGAACAGACACUACCAAGGACAGAUGCUCCUGCCCCUGAAAAUCCGAUCCACCCUCCAGCAUUUGUUGCACCUCCUUCCUCUCCAGCUUCCUUCCUCCAGUCAGAACCCCCAUCUGCCACCCAAUCACCUGCAGGUCCUCUUUCCCUUUCUGCUCUCUCAGCAAAUUCCUACUCCCCCAAUGGCCCUGCCUCCAUAUUUGCCAUUGGGCCCUACGCACAUGAAACUCAGCUAGUCUCACCUCCUGUCUUCUCCACUUUCACAACUGAACCAUCCACUGCUCCAUUUACUCCCCCUCCGGAACCUGUGCAUCUAACAACCCCUUCAUCUCCUGAGGUUCCAUUUGCACGACUUUUAACCUCUUCCCUGAAUUCCAACUGCAAACAGAGUGAAGCCUAUGAGUUUCAGUCAUACCAGUUUUAUCCAGGAAGCCCAAUAGGUCACCUCAUAUCACCCAGUUCAGCAUGUUCAGGCACUUCAUCCCCUUUCCCUGAUGUUGAAUUGCGUUCCUCUACUGGUGGCUCCUUCCCAUCCUUCCCACUUGGUGAACCACCAAAGAUAUUGAGUGCUGAUGGAAUUGCCGUGCGCAAGCUGGUACCUUGUCAUGCUCGGGAUGGUGGUUCACUUUUGGAUGGUCGGAUCACAGCAGCUGCACCUACAAUGGAUUCUGCUAUGGGGUCUCAUAAUAAUGAUCAUGCCAUGGAUCACAGAGUCUCAUUUGAAUUGACUGCAGAAGAGUUUGCGCGCUGUUUGGGGAAGAAAACAGCACUUUCAGGGGAUUCUAACUCAGGAUGUUCCCAAGUUGCAGCAACCGUGGGAGACCAGAUUACUGAUGAAGCCAAUAAGAGCAAUGGAAUCUGUGUUGAUGAAACUUACCAUGACUUGCCUGACAAAGCACAACCUUCCUUUGCCCUUCCAGCAGUUAAAGAAUUCAAAUUUGAUAAUGCGGAUGGAGCACCUGCAGAGCCUAGUGUUGGAUCUGAUUGGUGGGCAAACGAGAAGGUUGUUGGGACAUCAAGUGAGCCUUGCAAGAACUGGGCAGUUUUCCCUAUGAUACAGCCCGGGGUCAGCUGAUCACUGAUCCAAGAUGCAUCCCAUAUGUUGAAAGGAGGAGCCUCUGCGGCUCUCUAUGGUUCAUGACCCAUUUGGCGGCUUUGCUGGAAACAGGAGGCCCUGGGCAUCUGCAAGCUAAACUUGUGAAGUUCUUCUGGUGGGUGGUGAUGGUGAGAUGGACUAUUUUGCUAGCUGCAUCUCAGGUCUUGUCUUCGUCUUCACAGGAAAAAAUAAACAGAGAAGAUUUUGAUGUCUCAUAUGAAAUGUGUAAUGUGAAAUAAGCUCAUACUACAGAGGAUAGCUAUCUGCUCUAACAAAUCAUGUAAGAUACAAUAUUAUGGCAUUGAGUCUUGCCAUUAUUUAUCCCUUGGAACUUCGUUAUGUCUUCCCGGUUAGCUAGUUUGUUUGUUUCUUUGUUUCUAGUUCAUGUUCAAUGUCAUCAUGUUGAAAAAUUGUCAGGUAACUGAGGCAUCUUCGCCUUCCAUCUGAGAAUAUGAUAUUGGCUCAUGAUCUCAUGGAAUACCACCAUCCAUAACGCAUGUUUUCAUGAUAUAGGAAUUAUAUCUUCAGAAAAUUUGAGGAUCAAGUGUAAAAUGUUUUAUUGAGAAGGAUGUCAUAAAGUUGCAAACAUGCACCUGUAGGUUUAUCCGCCUACAGGAGACGGGCACAACAUUCGUCCCAAUGGAACCCGACGCAUUGCUUGGCCUCAAAAUAGACAGUAAGGGAGAGGUAUUACCCGAGAGGAUGUCAAGGGUUGUAUUCAACCUUUCAGUUCAAACUCUCUUGCAUUAAAUUGUAUUUAAGUCUCUGUGUUACCUAAGUUUCCUUGGUUGUUGAGAAAAUUUAAUUGCGAAUUGAUUGUUAUGGGAUCUGCAAAUGCUAAGGAAGGAAAGUUCAUUUGAUUGAGAUAUAUCAAGAUUACAGAAUAAUUUAAUAAUUCCUAAAAAUUAUUUAUCUGAAAAGAUAAUUGCAAAAAAAAUAAAAUAUAUUAUAUUUGGUUGGUAAAAAAUUACUCUAAAAAAAUAGCACCGAAAAAAAUACUAUAUUUGGUUGAAGAUAAUAUUAUAUAGAAAUAUUAUUAAAUUUCUAACAAUACUUUUAAAUAAAUAAUUUAGGCAAUGAUUUUUUUUGUUCAGUCUAUUUGUGGCCCACUUAUAUGAAGACAAUUUACCAAGUCGAAGCAAGAGCUUGAAAAAGCGGUUGAAGAUCCAGAAAGUUGUUGAAGAUAUAUAUGGAUAAGGCAAAGGCACCACCUUGCAAAGCAUCCCUUCCUUUAGGGAAGAUUCUCCGACACAACUCUGAUUGGAGCAACUUGAGAACAUACUAAUCCCCCUGAGGGGGGAGAGCGAAGCGGGGGGGGGGGUAACGUCCAAUUCCUAGUUAAAUGGUCCAGUUGAGGACCAGAUAUCCCCCAAGACCAUUAAUAUGGACUAUUUCAAAUAUUGUAAUAUAUUUACAUAAGUUAAUAAAUAUUUUUAAAUCAUUAUCCAUAUAUAAGAAUAUAUGGAGCAAUCCGAACUCUCGAUAGAAUAGAAAAGAGGGCCGCAGCGACAUGUAAUACCCUCUCCCCCCCCAAGCUGUCUUCUCCCCCUAGCUGUCUAGUUUAUCUAUUUUUGGUAUACAAAUAAAUUUUAGUAUAUUUUUUGCUGCACUAAUAAAUAUAUUAAUUAUAAUUUUAAAAAUAUAUACCAAUAAAUAAAUGUAUUAAUUAUUGAUAAAUCCCAUAUUAUAUUUAUUUAUAUUUCAUAAAUAUUAUUAAUUGUUUAUUAAUAGUUAAUGUUUAUUAGUAAAUAUAUUAAUUUGUUAAUAAUAUUAUUUAUUUAUAAAUAAUUUUAUUAAAAUUUUAAUAUCUUGAUUAUAGUAAAUAAUAUAUGUAAUUAAUAUUAUUAUUAUAAUAAUGUAAUUAAUAUACUCAUUAAUAAAUUAUAACUUAUAUAUUCAUUAUAAUAAUAAAUAUUUGAUAAAAAUAUAUAUGAACUAUAAUAAUUAAUAUGAAUAUAUAAUUAUAUAUUAUAAAUAAAUAUAUUUUGACAUAAAUAACAUAGAGAAAAUUUAAUAAAAAUAUAUUUAUAUUAAUGAUAAUUAAUAUAAAAUAAAUAUAUAUUCAUAUUAAUUUUUAUUUGAUAAAUGCUAACAUAAUUUAUUAAUUAUAAUAUACUAAUAUAAUAUAAUUAUUAUAUUGAUUGUAUCAAUAUAAUUAAUAUAAUAUUAAUAAUAUAAGUAGGGGUAUGUCUAUUAAGCAAUGAUAAUUUUAGAUUACGUUCAUUUAGUAAUCUAGUAUAAGAACAAAAUACUAUUUUUCUAGUAAUAUUUAUUUUACAUUCUCAUUUAAUAAAAUAGGCGUAGAACUAAUCAUUUAUUUAAUUUUCUCUCUUAUACUUUUUUAACCAAACCUAAUAACCUGAUAUUUAUUUUUCAGAUUAUCUCCAACCAAAUAAACCCUACAUAUACAUAAAAAAAAUAUCUCUUUAAACUUUUUUUUGGUUCCUAUGUAGAUCAACACGCGGUGGGCCUUGAUUAUGACUCUCAUUCUUUUGCAUGCACGUACAUUUGCGGAUCGCAAUUCUCCGGUAUUUGGCAAAAAAAUUAAAAAUUUCACUUAUGAUUUUGAAAGCAUAUAAAGAUAGAAACAUCCCAAUUAGAUAUAAACUUCUUUGCCUCUCUCUACAUAUGAAGAAACUAGAUCUCGAUUCAAAAUUCUUCUACCAAAGUAUAUUUCUUUGUUGCUCCUGUCGAUGAUGUAACUGAUUAGCACCUACCGACCUACCACCUACAUCUCGGCGGUAGAACUUUCGAAACGGUCGGUGGUUCUUGGAAGUAUCCGGCUACCGUCCCCAAGAGCGGCCCAACCGGAUGAGGGAGCCCCCCCGUGCGACACCUCAGUACACGUGUCAGUGCCGUCCGCUUAACCUCGGUAACCGGUAACCGAUUACGUUCCCUAAAUGGCGGACCAGGCCCCGCGCGUACUGCUUUCAGGCCAUGACAGAAUGAGAGCGAAGGCCGCAAACUGGCCAUGUGACCAUUGGCAGCUGACUUUCCGGUCGUUUCAAUCUUCAAUUUCUGGCACCGCAUUAUACACGUAACACACCCACGGCCCACACUCAGGUCCGUCCUUGGUCCCCCACCCAUUGGCCCCACUCCUUUCUUGGCAAAAAAGCCAUCCAAUUUUUUUCGCUUUUGGCUCAUGAGUUCCUGGUCUUGGUCCGGAUUUGCAUAUGUUUUGUUUUGUUUUAUUUUAUGGAUUUGUAUAGAUUCUGUAUCUAUCUUUCUUGUUCUUUCUUUAUCGAUAGGAUUGACAGUCACCAAAUUCUAAACGAUUUAAAAGUUUUCUGAUCUUGUUGGUUUUUGAGUUCGGUGUGCUCGGGAUAAUGAUUGUAGAGUUGGAAAGGAGAGAAGCAGACCUUCCCCUUUUCCUCUAAGAUCUAGGGCGAACUCCAAGUUACAAAAGAUGGCCAUGGCACCCACAGUAAAGGUGGUACUAGGCUCCAUUGCGUUUGGGAUCUUCUGGGUCCUAGCUGUUUUCCCUGCGGUGCCCUUCCUCCCUAUCGGAAGGACCGCAGGAUCUCUUCUUGGCGCCAUGCUUAUGGUCGUCUUCCGCGUGAUUACUCCCGAAGAAGCCUAUGCGGCGAUCGACCUCCCCAUCCUUGGCCUCCUCUUUGGCACCAUGGUUGUUAGUGUCUAUCUCGAAAGGGCCGAUAUGUUCAAGUAUUUGGGUAAAUUGCUCUCAUGGAAAAGUAGAGGCGGCAAGGAUUUGCUCUGCCGCAUCUGUCUUGUUUCUGCCGUCUCCAGUGCUCUAUUUACCAAUGAUACUUGCUGUGUUGUUCUCACUGAAUUUAUCCUGAAAAUUGCAAGGCAGAACAAUUUUCCGCCACAGCCGUUCCUUUUGGCCCUGGCUUCUAGUGCGAAUAUCGGUUCUUCCACGACUCCGAUCGGUAACCCGCAGAACCUGGUUAUCGCUGUUCAGAGUAAGAUUUCUUUCGGGGAAUUCUCGUUUGGGCUCCUUCCUGCAAUGCUUGUGGGAGUAAUUGUGAAUGCUGCCAUCCUCUUAUGCUAUUACUGGAAGUUGCUGUCCAUUGAGAAGGAUGUGGAACUGGCUCAAGCAGCAAAGGAUGUGAUCGCGGAAGAGGAUGUCACUUCUCACCGUUUUUCGCCUGCGACCAUGUCACACCUCACUUCUAUGAACUCUCAGGAUUGGAGUUCUGCAAUUGAAUCCAUUCCUCAGAGCCCAGCGUUAAAUGGAGAGAUUGUGCAUGUCGAGACAUUAAGGAACAGAAUAAGUUACAGUGAGAAUGACAUACGGUCAGCCACAAGCGAUGGCACUGAGCCUGCAAAGGUUUCGAAUGCAUCGAAGGAGCUAGCAGGGGUUGGUGGAAUUUCUCAAAGGAGAGAGGAAGGUGCAUCUGUGAGGAGAUAUGCGAGAAAUGCCAGCUGGAUCAAUGGCAUGAAGGAAGGGUUUCCUCACCACUCUUUGGAGGAAAAGGAAAUUCCCAUGGGGAGGUGGAAGAGAUUGUUGUGGAAGACCUGUGUCUAUGUUGUGACUGUUGGAAUGCUCAUUGCUCUUCUAAUGGGGCUAAACAUGUCGUGGAGUGCGAUUACUGCUGCUCUCGCUCUCAUUGUACUGGAUUUUAAGGAUGCCCGUCCUUCGCUAGAGAAGGUAAUUCAUAUCUUGAGUUUUAGUUAGUAUUAUGCAAAAUGAAAAGUUUUGAUUCUUCUGCUACAUUCUUAUGUGAUAAUGCAAUCAUUCUUUUUUCACCCCCCUGGAAUUUGGAAAUUUUGUUUAUCCUGACAAGUUUUAUUUUCAUAUAAUUGAAAUUUCAUUUUCUUCAGGAAAAUCUAUAAUAAUUCUUCAUGAAACAUUCUAGACUGAGCUGAUGUUUCUGUUGCAAAUGCAAACCAGGUUUCUUAUUCUUUAUUGAUAUUCUUUUGUGGGAUGUUCAUUACCGUCGAUGGCUUUAAUAAAACUGGCAUACCAAGUGCUCUAUGGGAUCGGAUGGAACCAUACGCACGGAUUGAUAGUGCUGGAGGGAUUGCGGUUCUUGCCCUUGUUAUCCUUGUUCUCUCAAAUGUUGCGUCCAAUGUACCUACUGGUAAGUUA